UGGUUUUGCUUUUUGUUUGUCUUUCUUACAACAGUAUGUGGAUUACAUAACUGAAUUCAACAAAUGCCGGUUGUUAAUUCGUGACAUGGUUGAUAGAUCUAGAUAAAAAUAAUUAAUAUAGAAUCUAGAUUAUCAGACUAUUAAAAAGAACUGAUAACUUCAACAGUGAUUAAUUUAACACGUUUACGGUUCACAUUACUAAACUUUCAAUGGUUUAUGUUGACUGCCAGAAGUGUCUUGAACCAAACAAUGUGCUUACAGUUAGAAACACUACACAUUUGAAAAGCAUUGCUUCCCUUGUCUUGUACUUUGUUGAGUUUCCUCCAUGGCAAGUGGCUAACCUUUUGUUUUCUAUGAACGAUAUGGACAUUUGUGUCAAGUGUGCAACAAGCUGGUGAGGAAAUCAAACAACAGUUUCUGUGUUGCUGUGUUAAAAUUCUAAUGUUUGACUUCUGAAGUAUCCAAAGCUACAAUUUAGUAAUUAGAAUCAUCUACAUUAUUACCUAGACCACUUUAAAAAAGUGUUUGAAAAUCCGAAUGAUAUUUGUAUCUCCAACUGAAGCUGAUUACUUCCCCUGUACUUGAUAAAUCUUUUGUGACUGCAAUAAAAAUGUGCAGUACUAUGUCUACAAGUGCUAAUGGAAUGUCGUUAUGUACAGACUCUACAGCAGCAGCCUCCAGUUCAAAUCAGUACAACAUGUACCGCUACAUGUACAACAGCCCUCGACGUCCUGAGGGUGUCCACCAGCUGCUCUGGCACAAGGUAGAAAUGCUGCUAGUCUACACUUGGGUUCUCAUCCAGACAUUGUUUCUUAUUGCAGGGCUGGCAGUACUCCAUUUCUCCACCUUCUCAGUCAUGAUGUGCUAUCUUAUCAAUGGAGUCGUCAAAGGGAGAAGAGAGUUUUUACCACAGAAAUGAACUUUGUUUUGCUUGGAGAAACUAUUUACAUUAUGUACCAAAGUGUUUCACUUUUCUUUUAUAACAUUAACAUAUUGGAUGAAGUAGUAAUUAUUUCAAUCUAGAAACAUAUUCAAAUUUAAAAAAAAACUCUACUGAAAUAUUUUAAAAAAUAAGUUGUUGAUUUUAUUAUGUAUUAAAUAUUAUCAACAAUAUCUGCACUUAAGUAUUCAAGAUGAAGCUCUGAGUGUUUUAAUGAUUUUUUUCUUGUUGACUUAGUCAAAAUGUAUUUUUUUAGUCAUUACAAAUUAACUUUUACUUUUGGCUAACUAGGUUAUUUUUUCCCUUCAGUAAGCCAUAGUCAUAUAUAUAAAUAUAUAUGUAUAUAUAUCUCAGUGCACUGCCCAUUCAGUGUCAUUUUCUUGAAGUCAUGUUAUUGUGGCUAUUUGAGUUGGAUAAUGUUAACUGAUAGCGAUUCUAAUACACAAAAUAUUAGGUGUACAUUUCAUUGGAAUUGGAAGUGGUUGCUAGAUAUCACUUAGGAAAGUGUAGAUACAAUUAUUUAGAAGAAUUCAAUCUAAGACUUAUUUGUUGUUUCUUCCCUUUGAAAAGCUUUUAAUUGUUUCUAUUCUACAGUUUAUAAUUGUCCUGAAUUCUAGGCGUCUGCUGAAAGCUUUUGCAUCACUUUUGUCAGUGUUAAAAAUUAAUUGCAACAUUUAACAAACUUGCAGUCCUUUGCAAUGUAGUCAGUGAGACUAAAUACAUGGUGGGUUGAGGGUAAUUACAAAAAUAUCAAAUCAACAAUGAAGAAAUCAUUUUUAAUGUUGUAUUUUUCUAAGAAUUUUCUAUUGAUGUAAAUGCAUGUCUUAAUGGAAAUGAUAGAAAUAAAAUGUUGUAGUCUUUGUUUUAUUAGUUUCAAUAUUUAUUCAACUCAUAACUUUUUCUUCAUUGCAUUGAAUUUAAAUUUUGUAAAAAAAAUAAAUAAAUAAAUUAUUGAAUAAGGUAAAAAAAACACAUUUCGAAUCAAAAGUUUAACAUAGAAAUCAUUGUACAGCCAAUAAGAUUUGUUUAGGCUCUUGACUUUUUUUGUGUUCAUGUGUUACUAGAUUUUUGACUCGUCUGCUUUGAUUUGUCUUUGCACAACUGAUCUUGUUGCAUACAUUUUAAUAUUUACUUUUCAGUUGAAUUUACUUUUGUAAAAAAUAAAUGGCAGAUUUUUUAGA